GCGAACGCUGGCGGCAGGCCUCACACAUGCAAGUUGAACGAACUCUUCGGAGUUAGUGGCGGACGGGUGAGUAGCACGUGGGAACGUGCCUUUUGGUUCGGAAUAACUCAGGGAAACUUGUGCUAAUACCGAAUGUGCCCUUCGGGGGAAAGAUUUAUCGCCAUUAGAGCGGCCCGCGUCUGAUUAGCUAGUUGGUGAGGUAACGGCUCACCAAGGCGACGAUCAGUAGCUGGUCUGAGAGGAUGACCAGCCACACUGGGACUGAGACACGGCCCAGACUCCUACGGGAGGCAGCAGUGGGGAAUCUUGCGCAAUGGGCGAAAGCCUGACGCAGCCAUGCCGCGUGAAUGAUGAAGGUCUUAGGAUUGUAAAAUUCUUUCACCGGGGACGAUAAUGACGGUACCCGGAGAAGAAGCCCCGGCUAACUUCGUG
rnacentral:rRNA from 1 species